AUUGUGUCUACCAUGGCCUGGACUACUUUUCUCAUCCUGCUGCUCUCUCACUGCAUAGGUUCCCUCUCCCAGCCUGUGCUGACUCAACUGCCAUCUCUCUCUGUAUCUCCGGGAGCAUCUUCGAAGCUCACCUGCACUCUGAGUAGUGGCUUCAGUGUUGGCAACUACUGGAUCAGUUGGUACCAGCAGAAGCCAGGGAGUCCUCCCAAGUAUCUCCUGAGCUACUACUCAGAGUCAAGCAAGAACCAUGGCACUGGGGUCCCCAGUCGUUUCUCUGGAUCCAAAGAUACCUCAGCCAAUGCAGGUGUUCUGCAGAUAUCUGGGCUCCAACUUGAAGAUGAGGCUGACUAUUACUGUGGGACGUGGCACAGUAAUGCUGUUCACAGUGAAACAGGCAGAUGGGGAAGUGGGACAAAAACCAAUUUUCCACAGGCUCUGACCUAUACACUCAUGUUUUGA